CGAGUUCCCGUUGAUUGACGUGCUUGCACUGAUUUCAACAUUGGAACGAGUGGCGAACUGGUGAGUAACACGUGGAAAACCUGCCCAGAAGCAGGGGAUAACACUUGGAAACAGGUGCUAAUACCGUAUAACAACAAAAACCGCAUGGUUUUUGUUUGAAAGGUGGCUUCGGCUAUCACUUCUGGAUGGUUCCGCGGCGCAUUAGCUUGUUGGUGGGGUAACGGCUCACCAAGGCGAUGAUGCGUAGCCGACCUGAGAGGGUAAUCGGCCACAUUGGGACUGAGACACGGCCCAGACUCCUACGGGAGGCAGCAGUAGGGAAUCUUCCACAAUGGACGCAAGUCUGAUGGAGCAAUGCCGCGUGAGUGAAGAAGGGUUUCGGCUCGUAAAACUCUGUUGUUGAAGAAGAACGGGUGUCAGAGUAACUGUUGACAUCGUGACGGUAUUCAACCAGAAAGCCACGGCUAACUACGUGCCAGCAGCCGCGGUAAUACGUAGGUGGCAAGCGUUGUCCGGAUUUAUUGGGCGUAAAGCGAGCGCAGGCGGUUUCUUAAGUCUGAUGUGAAAGCCUUCGGCUUAACCGAAGAAGUGCAUCGGAAACUGGGGAACUUGAGUGCAGAAGAGGACAGUGGAACUCCAUGUGUAGCGGUGGAAUGCGUAGAUAUAUGGAAGAACACCAGUGGCGAAAGCGGCUGUCUAGUCUGCAACUGACGCUGAGGCUCGUACAGCAUGGGUAGCGAACAGGAUUAGAUACCCUGGCUAGUCCAUGCCGUAACGAUGAGUGCUAUGUGUUGGAGGGUUUCCGCCCUUCAGUGCUGCAGCUACUGCAGUAGCACUACGCCUGGCGGAGUACGAC
rnacentral:rRNA from 2 species